AGUCGAAACACCCCUUCGGGGGUGUCCACGGCGGAAUGGCCUCCCCGUGCCGAUGAGACAGGCCAAG
rnacentral:hammerhead_ribozyme from 1 species